GUGAGCACACCGUGGGACCAAAGAUACUUCUUUAGUUAGUCUAACUGAAGGAAAAAAUAUGAUGAUGAUGGAACUAGUGAUUGAAAUUAUGUCAGAGAAGCAUGAAGAGCAAGAUGGAAAAGAACUGCUGGUGUUGAAGUCACCUUGUAAUUUUAGGAUUGUGACAGUACACUUGGAAAGCAUCUGGAAAGAGAGGAGGACAGAAUACAGUUCUACAGAUUUGAUCUUUUCAGCAGUAUAACCUGUUUUAAUUCUAACCAAAGAUCACUGGAAUGGGAAGAGG